rnacentral:rRNA from 1 species
UACGAAGGGGGCUAGCGUUGUUCGGAUUUACUGGGCGUAAAGCGCACGUAGGCGGAUCGUUAAGUCAGGGGUGAAAUCCUGGAGCUCAACUCCAGAACUGCCUUUGAUACUGGCGAUCUUGAGUCCGGAAGAGGUGAGUGGAACUCCUAGUGUAGAGGUGGAAUUCGUAGAUAUUAGGAAGAACACCAGUGGCGAAGGCGGCUCACUGGUCCGGUACUGACGCUGAGGAGCGAAAGCGUGGGGAGCAAACAGG